rnacentral:rRNA from 1 species
GACGAACGCUGGCGGCGUGGAUUAGGCAUGCAAGUCGAACGGUAUCAUCCGUUUCGGGGGUGAGAGAGUGGCGAACGGGUGAGUAACGCGUUGGUGAUCUGCCUCGAAGUGUGGAAUAACCUCCCGAAAGGGAAGCUAAUACCGCAUAGUCUCUCAAGGUUUAGAAAAUUGAGAGUAAAGGAUUUAUUCGCUUCGAGAGGAGCCUGCGUCCCAUCAGCUAGUUGGUAGGGUAACGGCCUACCAAGGCAAUGACGGGUAGGGGACCUGAGAGGGUGGCCCCCCACAAUGGAACUGAAACACGGUCCAUACACCUACGGGUGGCAGCAGUAGGGAAUAUUAGAAAUGGGCGGAAGCCUGAUCUAGCAACACCGCGUGUGCGAUGAGGGCCUUCGGGUCGUAAAGCACUUUUUGGAGGGAAUAGGAAGGAAGGUACCUCCAGAAUAAGUCUCGGCUAACUACGUG